GGCUCGUUGGUCAAGGGGUUUGAUUCUCGCUUUGGGUGCGAGAGGUCCCGGGUUCAAAUCCCGGAUGAGCCC
rnacentral:tRNA from 1 species